rnacentral:rRNA from 1 species
GAAAAACCUCUAGUAAUGUAUAAGGUACCCGUACCGUAAACCGACACAGGUAGUUGAGGAGAGAAUCCUAAGGUGCUCGAGUGAUUCAUGGCUAAGGAACUAGGCAAAAUUGUCCUGUAACUUCGGGAGAAGGGACGCUUCCCUUGCAGCAAUGUAAGGAAGCCGCAGUGAAAAGAUCCAGGCGACUGUUUAACAAAAACACAGGCUUUGCGAAAUCGAAAGAUAAGU